CCACGGGGUGCUCCCUUGAUUUGAUUCUCUACCCCUUCUUCUAGGGAUGGGGCUUCCUGAGAGCCGAUCUGAAGUGAUUUUUACUUCUCUUCUGGAAUUUAGCAGAUCUACCAGGCUCCACACUGAUACUGGGCAGUGUCUGCAGAGUUCUGUGAUUUGAUCCAUCUUCAGGUUUCUCAGCCAUGGAUACCAGCUUCUGCUCUGGUAGAAGUAAGCAAAGGAGUGAAACAGAUUCCGUGAGGGUCCUUGGUUUAUUUUUGCUAAGUGUGCUGGUUUUGUGUCAGUUAGUCUCCAGCCGGGAUGUGGCACUUUCAAGAGUGCAUCAACUGCAGUAGUAUAGAUAGGAUACAAGCUUGCCCUAGGGCCAGGCAUUGGGUGAGGUCAUAGAGCUCUCAAGACAUUAUGUCCUUGGUCUUCAACUACCAGGGUGGAUAGAGAAGAACUGUCAGGUAGGCACAGGGUUAAGGGUGUCUGAGAUCAGACUCUUUUUGGGUGGGGCUUGCUGCAGCAGCUGUGGUGUAUGGGGGUGUGGUUCUCAGGCCAAUGCAGUUCUGUUUCCAGAGGUAUUAUGGCUGCCUCUGCUGCAUCACAGAGGUCACCAAGGAAGUGGGAGAAAGCCAUCAGCCACAUGCUUCACCCAACUCUCACACAGCCUGCAGCCCGAAAGACUGGUCUUACUCCACCAUGCUCCCCCAAUGACACCAAGUUUAUUUCCAGGCAGCAGAUGAGCAAGGCUGAGAACGUGCCCCAGAGUACAAGUCUUACAACUAAGAAGAUACAUCGACUCACAGUUCCUUGGCUGUCCCAUGGAGCCAGCAGCAGCAAUCCCCCUCCUUCAAAGGAUAUAUGGAGUAUCUCAGCUUUCCUGGUUAAACGAGUCAUCAGAGGUCAAGCCACUUUCAAAGAAAUUAUGACUUUAAGAAGCAGAAGCCUUUCACGUGUAUUCACAAUUUAUAUCAAGCAUGGCAAAUUGAAGUGCAAAUUUGUUCAUCUAUGUGCCAACAAUUAUAGCUUUUUAUCCUUCUGUGACUUUCUCAAGCAAAACUUGAUGUGCAAUGAGAUUACCAACUGCCAGUCUAAAUAAAUGGAAGUCUUGUCACCUUACACUGUAUCUAGGUAAUAAUGUAAUUGAGUUGCCAUAGAAAGAUUUGUUAUAGUUGCUAUAGUUACUGAGGUUAGAGUACCUGUGCAGACCUCCAGGGUGUAAAGCUGGAGGGAAUUCCAGGACUUAUUGGCUUGGGGAUAAAAAGAAUCCUUCCCUAGUGAAACUUGAAGGUGAGAGGCCAGGUCAGAAACUGCCUGAAGGUGAGUGGAAUUGAACCAAGUGAAUCUCUUUAGAACACAGGUAAGAAAUUAUCAUUCCAGUCUUGUGGCCUUGGAUAAAGUUUAUUGAAGCUCAUUGUCUCCAAAAGUCAAGAAAAUAAUAAUCUUUUCUUUCAAUAUCAUCCAAGCUUCCGCUGCCCCAAAACCUAAACAGACAAAACCAAACAAUAAUUUGAAGUAACUCUUUACUAGCAGACAAAGAUUAUGACAUAAACAAGUGGACUCAGUUGCUUAAAGGUGGAGACCUAGUCAAACAACCAAAAUAGAUAGUUAUAUUAUGACAGAUUUAAUGAAAGAAUUAGAAAAGCACUUAAUUAAAAAAUGAUUUUAAUGAAAAUGAAAUUGAAAUUCUUAGAAAACAAACUUAAAGUUUUAGAACUAAUAAGAAUGACAAAUUUAAUAA
rnacentral:lncRNA from 13 species